UUGAAGCAGCAGCUGAGGCAACUCUGCAUGAGGAGAUCUUGACCCCACAAUCGGUCAACAUCGAGCUCCAGCAGAUUUUGCAGAUUAACAACAUCGCCGAUACUGUGAAGAAGAGGAAUCUGCAAGAACUCAAUGAUUUUGGAGGUGUUAGAGGAGUUGCAGAAGCAUUGAACACAGAUCUGGAUAAAGGAAAAAUAAUUUCAAACCCUAACAAAACCUGCACCGAAUGCAACCCUAGCCAACUAUCCCAACUUCUCCUCACUUUCUUCCAUUCUUUUCUAGCAGCUUGGAAUAACUACACCAUCUUUCCCCUCUCCGUCGCUGCGAUUUUGUCGCUAGGGUUCGGAAUCAAGUAGGAGGAAGGCUUGUGCAUCGGCUGGCUCAACGGCACGCUCAUAAUUCUCACAAUCUUCAUUCUUGUCACGUGCACAGCCGUACGCAAGUGCUGGGAAGAGAGGUCACGUAAAAAAUUGGAGAACAUUUUUUUACCUGAGAUUUGUAAUAAGGUGCAAGUACUUAGAGGUGGGGAAGCUGAGUCUAUUAAGGAAAUCGACCUCGAAGUCGGCGACAUAGCAGUUCUCCGAAAGGGAGAUCUUGUUCUCGCCGAUGGCAUUUUCGUAGAUAGCCGAGCAGCGCUCGAGCUAGACGACAACGGCUCGGUAAUCGAUGAGGAUAACCCGUUUUUGUUUUACGGCAGUAGAGUGAUCAACGGAGAUGCUCGGAUGCUGGUCACAUCCACAGGCAUGGACAACUUGUGGGGUGAGACAAUGAAGAACCAGCUGCUAGGGUUGGACGACAAGAGGUGUAAAUUCGAGUCUUAUAUUCAUACAUUGAAUACAUGUAUUCAUUUUGUUGGUCUUGGUAUAACCAUCCUCUUCAUCAUAGUGCUUUUCCUUCGAUACAAAUUCGGAAAGUUGGAUGAAGAAAGGAGAUACAGGCCGGAGUCGAAGGGAGAGCCUGUCUCUGUGAAAACUAUAGUGUGGAAGCUAUGAAAGGAUUCGUUACGGGAUCUAAGUCGACGGCUAGGGUUUUGACAACUUUGUUAAGUGUCUCGUUGUUGGGGGUAAUGGAAGGUAUGCCACUUGUCAUCUCAAUUGCAACAAUUAUAUGGAGCCGCAAAACACUAGCGCGCAAGGCCACUGAGAGAGAUUACCUUGCUUGCAUUAAGAUGGCCAGUGUCACUACCGUAAUUUGCGCCGACAAAUUCGGAGGGCUGACGGAGCACGAUUAUAAAGAGGUCGAAAUCGACAAGUUUUAUGUUGGUGAAGGAUUUGUGUGUGAAAGCUCGGUUGUAGCAUCCAAUGUUCUCGAUGGUUUAUGUGAUGGAAUCGGUACGGUUUUUCUGACGCACGAAGACGAUUAUUGCGGGUCGGAAUUAGGGCAGAUGGUCUCGUGGGCCGAGGCGAAAUUGGGCAUGAAGAGAGAAUCUGUGAUUGAACAAUGCACACUGAUAAGCUAUUGCAGUGUGAACAUUGAUCCCUUGCAACAACUUUGCCAAGUAGUAAUAAUGGAGAAAAGUAGUAAAGGGAGAACCCUGCAUUGUAAAGGACCACCGGGAUAUAUACUGUCGUUGUGUUCACACCAGUACGAUGCUGACGGGAGAAUACAGGAAAUAGACGAACCGAGACGGAGAACCCUCGAACAAGCCAUUCAACAAAUGCAAUCUGAUCAAGAAGCGGAUCAAGCGAUUGCAUUUGCUUAUAAAUAUGUGACGAUGGAUUUCGAUCAUGAGUGCUCAGCACCAGUUGAAUCGAAAGACUUGAUCUUCUUAGGAAUGAUUAGACAGAGAGAAACGAGAACCGACGAUACGAAACGAGCUAUCACACGCUUGAAGGCCGAACGUGGAAUUAGGACAGUUCUUGCCACGAGAGAUGAUGUUGCCGUACUCGAAACCAUUGCCCGAAACUGCGGGCUGCUGUUAACUACUCCCGAAUCGGCCGGCGAAGAUUUAUCGGUUAGUAUUACAGCCGAAGAAUUCCGGAAAUGGAGCGAUGAACAGAAAAUGGAGAAGGUAGACAAGAUUUGUGUUAUGGGAAACUGUCUCCCAUCCGACAAGAUCCUUCUCAUCGAGUUGUUGCAAAAGAAAGGGCAUGCGGUGGCGCUUCUAGCACAGCGAACGACCGACGCGCCUGCACUGAGAAAAGCUGACGUGGGCAUCGCUUUCGGAUCUUGGAGCUCCGAAUUGGCAAGAGAGUGCUCCGACAUCACCAUCUGGGAUAUUGGUAGUAACCCCUUCACCUUUCUGCUAAACGUCGUCGUAGGCGGGAUCCAUUUUCAAGAAAACAUCAGAAAAUCCAUCCAGCUCCAGCUUAUCGUCACAAUCUCAAGCACGCUGAUCAACUUCACUGCAAUCGUGUUCCUCGGAGAUUCCUCCAUAACAGCCGCCCAGCUUCUCUGGCUGAAUCUGGUCGUCGCACUCGCGGGACUGGUGCUAAUGCUGACUGGGCCGUCGCCGGCGGCGGUGACGUCAUCGUCGGGAAAGCUGAUGACGAAGGCAAUGUGGCGGAACAUAGCCAUUCAAGCUUCGUACCAGACGGCCGUGUUCGUGGGGCUUCAGCACAGAGGGAAGGAUAUGCUGGGAACGAGUGGGGGGCGAGUCAAAUCGGUGAUAUACAACGGGUUGUUCCUGUGCCAGAUGUUCAACAAAUUCGUAGCUAGAGAGAUCGAAAGGAAGAAUUUCAUGAGUGGUUUAUUUGAGAAGAAGAAUGUUUGGUUUUGGGUGGGUUUGGUUGGGUUCUUGAUGAGUCAGAUAGUGUUUGCGGCGGCGGAGCAUGUUAUCGGGGGCACUCCGGGGUUGACUUUUCAGCUUUGGGGUUUCUGCUUCCUAAUCGGCGUCGUUUCGUGGGUGCUGGAUUGGAUUGGGAAAACUGUCUCUGAUUUAAUUGGAUUGGUUGGUUUCUGGAAAUAUAAUUUAUAAAUUAAUUUCUAGAAUAAACAAGGCCGGACUGUAUAUCAUCAGAUAGCCAAUCACGAGCCUGUUAUUUAAUUUGAAACUAGAAAUGAUGUAAUUACUUUUAUCCACUUUAGUGUAAAAAUUAUUUUAGUUCCAUUUGGAUGCUGGAAAUUUGACAUAAUCAGACACGUGUGUACCUAUGUGUGUUUAGUUGGUAAUUUUUUUAUUAAAUUUACGAUUCAAAUUCAUCGAAUGCAAAUAAGGGGGUGUAGCAUCUAACCCUCACAUUUGGACUCAUUUCAAAUCCAUUCGUUUCAAAUGUUUCAAUACUAAAAUGCAACUUCAUAUUUUCAGUUCCAAAUAAAGACAUAUAAUUAAGUUGAUCUUUAAUUUGUUUACCAUGAGUAUGUGACAAGUCUUGAAUCUUGAUAUAUAUGAGCGCAAUAUUUCUAUUAUACAGUAGAAAGUAAAUAAAUUAAUAACAUCGCUUAUAUAAUAAUUUCUUCAUGUGAGGACUCGGUAAGCACCUAUCAAAUUAUUAGUUCAACUAUGAAUAACUAGUUAAAUCUCUAACACAAAUUUUUACUAUCUUUAGCAUAAAACACCCAAACUCUCUUACACAUAUGCAGGUAACAACAAUAUAUAUAUAUAUAUAUAUAUAUAUAUAUAUAUAUAUAUGCUGAAUGAAAAUUGAGACAUUUUUUUCAAGCAAUGAAAGCAGAAAGACAGACAAGAAAUGUAUAUAAAUAUAUAGUAUGAUUAUCGCAAAUUAAACCGGAAAUAUAUAUAUGUCAGAUUCAAUAUACUGAUUAUAGUUGUGCCGAGAACUAACCUGCGUGGAUUCAGAAAUGCAAAAUGAAAUGAGGUUUCGAUCAGAUGGGAGUCGCCGCCGGUGAUUUUAUCGAUCUGCAGGUCAACUUUUAACAGUAGUCCUCCUCCUCCUUCUUCUUCUUCUUCUAAGGCUCCCCUCUCUCAUUAUAUUAUAUAUUAAGUCUCAUCUUCAGCUGCGUCCCACCCACUUUAAUUAUACUAAUUAACUGCGUUUUCCCGGUAGCUUCAAUUGUUGUUUCUAGGAUAUAUAUCCUCUUGUUCCAAUUGUAUUAAACUAUUACUCCCUCAGUUCUUAAAUAAUUGUCACUUUUCAUUUUUCAUAAAAAUUAAGAAACUCAAUAAAUAUAUCUUGAUUUUAGAAAAAUCAUAUAAAAAUGACUAAAACAACCUUUAAUAUUUAAUGAUUUAUAAGAGAAAAUUAAUGAAUAUAGUUUCAUUAAUAAGGUUAAAAUAGGAAAAAUGUAUUUAAUGCAGUAUUAGAAAUCUAAAGUGACAGAUGAUAUAGAAUAAAAAAGACCGUUAUUGUGGGAGUAAUAUAAAAACCACAUCACAUGUGCCAAAUUGAAAUUAAUCAAUUAAAUAAUGGUUUUUGUCAUUGAUGUAUUGGAAUAUGCCUUAUAGGCAUUGGGAUGAAAUAGUAUUAAAUUCUGCAGGUCAUUUGUAUUUGAUCACAUGCGCCAAAUUGAAAUUAAUCAAUUAAAUAAUGGUUUUUGUCAUCGGUGUAUUGGAAUAUGCCUUGUAGAUAUUGGGAUGAAAUAAUAUUAAAUUCUGCAGGUAAUUUGUAUUUGGUGUCUAGUGGAAUUAAUUAUUCUGUAGCAACUAGCAUUUUUAUCAGUCACAAAUAAUCUUAAUUAAAUGCCAGAUUAAAUUUGUAAUUAAAAUGUUGAAUUCAUAGAUGAAAUUGAAUUGAAAACUACAAAGUACGAAGCACAUGUCUAUAUUAAUUUUUUUUUUUGAAUUUUUAUUUAAUUUAUUCAUGUAAGAAUUAAUCAAAGAAAAUUACACGUGACUCGAUUCGGCCAAGGCUUGAUUUUGGACAUGUUUUGUUAAUGGGCCAAAUUAAAUGUGGGUAUUGUUCGGGCCACAUUGUAGCAGAGCUAUUCUAUUUUGUUAAUGGGCCAAAUGUAAAUGCUGACGUAUAUUUUUUCUAGAAGAAUGGUGACAUAUACAAUAUUAAGUAAAGUUACUGUCUAAGACAGUAAUAAUGUUGCAGUAAGAUAAUAAUAUUACUGUUUUAUAUAGUAAAAUUAUUGUCUGAGACAAUAAUAUUUCACUCAGACAACAACUUUGCAGGUUGUGACAUAAUAUUGCAGGCUGAUACAAUAAUAUUAAUAUUAGAACAAUAAUAUUAUUAUCUGAGACAUUAUUAUUAAUUUUAACACAGUAAUAUUACUAAAAAAGAGUAAAAAAAAGAAUAAUUGCUCCUAUUUAACCAGAGUAGCCAUAUAUAAACAUUUAUGCUGCUCACUUUCUAAGCCGUAACCGCUCUCUCAAUCAGGUGUGCGAUUCAAUUUCUUCGUUUUAGGAAGAGCAUGGUUCCAGAUUUAUGAAAAAUAUGCUAGUGUGUAUGAUUUUUGUUAAUCUUGUUGGGGUUCUGCAAAAAAAUUGGCAAUUUAUCGAAUGAUUGUACGUAAAAGAUGCGAUUACAUGAAUUCGAAUUAGAGCAAGCUAUUUUAAAUUAGGUAAAAAAUAAAAUCUGAAUAUAUCUAUUUGAACAUAUCUAUUUAACCCAUAAAAAAAAAGGGUGGACAUAUCAAUUUAAAAAAUGGUGUAAUUUGACGAGUCCAUCACACCAAAAGUCAAACUAAAGACAUACUCCACUCCCCAUUUUGCCAACGAGGUAGUUUAGUCAAACUUUUCUACGCGUAAUAAAAUGUGAUUACUGUGGAACCAUAACGGAAUAAAUGUUUAUGGUGUUAUAGAAUAAACCAUCUAUUAUAUCAUAUAACUCAGUGUAUAUAAUUGUAACAGAAAAGAUUUUUGAAUACAGAAGCUUUUCAAUCUAUUCAAUCAAGUAUCUCUUUUGUAUUACAACUAUGUGCUAUAUAUAGAAUUCUCAUGUACAUGCAUGGUGCCAUCUGUAAACAUUGGCUAACCAUUACUUACAAAAUUACACGUAGGUUGACUUGGUCCACAUAGUGAAGAUAUCUUAAUGCUUAAGUCUAUAAAGGAUAUUAUUGUAAUAUAUGGGAAUUUUUUUUGCGUAUACCUAUCACUACUAGAAAUCCGCUGUUUAGCAACGGAAAUUAACGACGUAUACCCGAUGCGUUGCUAUAAUAAGCAUUUAGCGAUGACAUUAGCGACAUAUAUUAAAUUUGUCUCCUCGGCUUUUAGAUUUCAAUUAUAGUGACGUCAAUUAGUAACGAAUAAGAAAUCCAUUUCUAUAAUAAGAAGUUAGAAACAACCUUAGCGACGCUCAUAAUAGUCGUUGCAAACAUAAAUUGUUAGCGAUGGAAUGUUACAACGGAUAAUAAUUUUAUUUCUAAAAUAAAUAUUUAUCAACAUAUAUAGCGAUGGACAAUAUACUCGUUGCCAUAAUAAAUAUUUAGCGACUGACCUUUGCGACGACCAAUAAAUCUAUUUCUAAUAUUAAAAGUUAGCGACAAGUAUAGUCACGGAAAAUAGAGCUGUGACUGAAAUAUAUACUUAGGGAAAAUAUUUAAGUACGAGUGGUAACUCCCGAUUCUAAAAUAAACAGAUGACAGAAUACGAAAAAAUGAACCCAUUAUUGGUGAAAAAAAAAACGAAAUUUGCAAUCACUUUGUUUCCCACUUCAAUUGAAUUAUGGAUACUACUUUUUAAUUUAAGUUUUCAUAAUCAUCAUUAAAUUUUGAGAUAUAUAUAUAUAUAUAUAUAUAUAUAUAUUGGUAAUUAUUUUAGAUUAUUUUUUGUUAAAAGUAAUAGAGAUUUAAAUUAUAAAUUGAGUUUAAAUUAUGUUACAAAAUAAUAUUUUGGUUAUUGAAUCCUUAUUAAUGGAUUAAUACGUUUCUAUUAUUCUUUUUUUAUUCUUAAAGCAUAAUUAAGUAAUUAGUUGAAUAAGUUAAAAAAAUUGUGAAGAUUUCAUUGGCCGUAAGAAAGGCAAUUUGGAGUUUUAAUGCCAACUAAAGAAAAAGACCUACCCUAAUACAAUUGUAUCAGUUCAGAGAAUUCAGAGAGACGCAUAAAGAAAAGAGACGAGGAGUUCAUCACCAGUUCGGGUACAAGUCCGCGUUAUCUAGGUUUGAUACCUCUCUUCGUCAUCUCACCAGUUCGGCCACCAGGUAAUUGCAAAAUUUCGUUUUCUCUCUUCCUCCAUGGAACACAAUAUUAUGCUAUUGAUUUUUGGGAGUUUGUUCAGUAAAAAACCCGUGAUUGAAUAUUUUAUCGCCUUCUCUAUUUUUUUUGGUCAAUUAUUUCCAAUUUAUAUUUGAUUUGAUAAUCAUCAUAGACUCUGUGCUUGGAAGUCGGAACUAGUAAACUUUUCAUGUUUUGAGUAAUCCAUAAUCUGUAAGUGAUUUAGUAUAGUUAUUCCCCUUCGAUUAUUUUUUUGAAGAAUCUCAGUUAAUUUUAUGAAGAAUCUCAGUCAAUUUUAUUAACAUAAUUGUAUGUAGUGUAGGAUUUCAUAAUUCUUGUAUUGCUAUUGCUUACCUAUAUUGGUGCUCUGUUUUAUUAACAAACUAAAUUUUGUUACUACUAUGCAAUUAAAUUAACAAAUGAUCAUUAUUUGUUUAUGUGUUAUACUAAUAAUACGUUCAAUAUAUAUGGAUAACUAUAUAUGUCCUAUUUUUUUAAAAUUAAUUUACUUCAGAUUUUUGAUCUAGCUAGCAUGAGUUCAUUAAGAGCUGAUCGUAUUUGGAUGUACAAUAGACUUGUACAAAGUCGAAAAGGAUUGAUGGAAGAGUUUAUUAGAGGCGUUGAAGAGUUUAUAACUUUUGCACUAUUGCAAGACAAUUUUGUAUCUAACGGCAAUAUACGGUGCCCGUGUUCAAGGUGUGGUAAUCUGAAAUUUCUAGAAAUUGAGGAUGUAAAGACUCACCUAUAUAAAUAUGGUUUUGUUCCUGACUAUUAUCAAUGGGUAUCACAUGGGGAGCCGUACGUAGAAGUCGUUAGUCCACAGUCUUCCGUGGGCAUAGAAAAUGAAACUAUUGUCCAAAGUACAUCACCAAAUCCAUAUCGCACAAUGGUUUUAGAAGCAGCAGGGAUCGAUUAUAAUUUUGAAUUUGAAAGAAAUGAUUCGGUUCGAGAUGAGGAAGAGCUUCCUAAUAGUACUGCCGAUAAAUUUUAUAAAUUGCUUAAGGCUACAGAGGAGCCACUAUAUGAGGGUUGUAAGUCUCAUACUCCACUGUCAGUAAUAUCGAUGUUAUUGAACAUUAAAUCCGAGUUCACAAGCAAAUGCAUCAGAAAUAUCUUCGUCGGAGCAAGGAGAAAUAGGUGAUUCUCAACAGAAUCUUGGAUCGCAACAAAGACUUGCUACGAGACGAAUCUUGUUGAAAGUUGAUGGAGAUAGGUAAAAUAUUUUUUGUGUAUUUUAAUAAAAAAUAUAUAAUAGUGUGUAAGAAAAUAAUUUUCCUUUGUUAACAGUUUUGAUCCUUUCGAUGCAUCAAGACGAUUGGUUGAGAUAUACAAAAAAUCAUUUAGUGGUGCAUGGGCUACAUGGAGAAAUGUCCUUAUUUAUGUUAGGGAUCGUUGGUUUGAUGAUUUUCAGGUAUCGGUUCAGUGUGUUAUUCUUGUGUUAUGUAGCAUGAAAUUUAGAUCAAAUAUCAUCACUUAAUUUAUGCAUUUUAUUAUUUAUAAAUACAUAUAUGUUUGUUGUUGAUGUGUUACAUUUAUUUAAUGUGUGCAUAAGUUUUAUUAUUGGGAUAAUGAGGAUCACUUGGCUAUUAGAAAACUUUUUGACCACAAAGGAAGUACAAGUUUGAGCAAUACCAUGAAUAAGGCGAAAAAAAUAUUUGACGAGAAAAAAGUGAUACCUAGGUGGAUCAAUCAAAAUCAUUGGAAUGAAUUGAUGGCUUAUUGGAAUACUGAUAAGUUUAAGAACAAGUCAGAUACUAAUUCCAGUAACAGAAAAUCGAGUAUUGAUGGUGCAGGUCCAUCCUUGCAUACGGGAGGAUCAAUUCCUGUAUCAGAAUAUAAAAGAAGAUAUGUAUGUAUAGUUUUGUUAAUCUAUACUUGUUAUAACUCAAUUAAUUGAAAGUUAAUCAAUUUUUCUUUCUUUUAGGUGAAAGAGAAAGGGGUCGAGCCUAGUGCCUCAAAAUUAUUCUUGAUGAUUCACAAGACGAAAGAAAAUAAGAACUAGGUUGACACUAAAUCUAAAUCUACAUGGGUAAGCAUUUCUAUCAUUUUGAUAUUAAUUGUUUCUUUAAGAUUUAUAUAUAUAUAUAUAUAUAUAUAUAUAUAUAUAUAUAUAUAUAUAUAUAUAUAUGUAUAUAUAUAUAUAUAUAUAUAUAUAGAUNNNNNNNNNNNNNNNNNNNNNNNNNNNNNNNNNNNNNNNNNNNNNNNNNNNNNNNNNNNNNNNNNNNNNNNNNNNNNNNNNNNNNNNNNNNNNNNNNNNNAUAUAUAUAUAUAUAUAUAUAUAUAUAGAUGUGUGUAUGUGUGUCACUGUCCUAAUAAUUUGGAUCAGCUUUGAUUAAAAUUAAAUCAUGAUUUAUGCAAAAUAAGUUUGUUUAAUCUAGUUUUGAUGAUAUAAAUAUAGUUUGAGGAAGCUUUUAGCCAAGCCUGUUCAAACGAGAGUAAUGAGUAAUAUAUAUAAAUAUAGUUAGGACAGCAAUAUAUAUAUAUAUAUAUAUAUAUAUAUAUAUAUAUAUAUAUAUAUAUAUAUAUAGAGUACUUUGUCUAUUCCCAGUAGCUGCUUAUGUGUGUAUGCAAUUAUGUUUUAUAAAUUUAUUAUUUAUUUUGUAAUAUUUCAGGAUAAGUUUAAAGUUAUCGUCAAAAGGCGUCGUUUAAAUGAUGUUCCUGAGCCAAACAUUGAUGGAGAAGGACAUGAGGAUGUAGAUGAAGAGGAAGAAGAAAAUAAUGUAGAUGAAGACGAAGCCUUCAUUUCAAUGGCAUCAACUCUUUCUAAAGAAGUUCUUGAUAAUGCUUGGGUUGAAGCAACUGGAGGGCCGAUAAAAGGAAGAGUUUACGGUCUUGGAUCAGAAUCCAUCACUCUUAUGCAAGGAACUGGCCUUACAUCUUGUGCUCCGACAAGUUCUUCUCUAGUUCCACCAGUCCCUUUUGAGAACUUACUUGACACUGCUACCUUUCAAGAAGCUGUUGACCGUGUCGUAGAGCAAAAACUAGCCAAUAUGCAAGCUUCUUUUGAGGAUAAACUUCGAAUCAUUGAGGCUGCCAUGAAAGGGAUGCAGUCAAGUCAACCUGAAGGAUCAUUAUGAGAAAGAGGUUCAACAUCACACUUGUAGGAUAUGUUUUUUAAUUUUAAAUCCGACAAUUUUGCAGGCUACUAGAAUACUUUCGAAAUUCUUUGGGACAAAUUUAUGAAUAUUAUUAUGCUGAUUUAUUUUUAUUGAUCUAUGAAUUUUUAUUGGCAAAUUAUCGUGUAGCAUGUAUUAAAAUAUUGCAUCGAAUAAUUAAAAUAUUGUUUUUUUAAUAAAUAACAUAAUUUUGGCGAUGGAUUUAGUGAUGGAUAUAUGUAUCAGUUACUGAUUUGGCGAUAGUUUCUAGCAACAAAAUUAGUCAUAUUUUUUGCAACAACUUAUUUACAACGGAAUUAGAGAUGUAUUUUGUAAUGAAUCAUUACAACAGAUUUCGUGACGGAUGCGGCGAUGGAUCAUUAGUAACGAACACAGCGACGUAUUUUGAGAUGGUAUAUUAACAACGUUCUUAGCGACGGCGACUGUGACGACAUAUUUGUAACGACCAGAGCAACAAAUUUAGUUAUGUAAAUUAGCAACGUAAAUAUUCAGAUUUAGCAACAUCAUCUCCAUCACAAAUGUAGCGACGAAUCUUUGCAACAGAUAAUAGCCGUCACUACAUGUAGCAACGAAUUUUGGCCAUGUGUUGCUAAAAAUUAGUGACGCGCUGUUUAGCGACGGUCGUGGCAACGAGCGCCAACCGUUGGAAAUUGCCAUUUAGUGACGGAUUUGUCUAAUGUAGCGACGUUUGGGUCCGUAGAUAAACAACGGAUUUCUAGUAGUGUAUUAAUAUUUUAGUAGCUAGUGGGACAAAACAUCCGAUGACCCUCCCGCUCUUCCCUACACCCCAACACCCCUGAUGCCCCACAGGCACACUCCUCCAAUCGACCUGAAUGGCCACCCAAACCCCCACUUAUUUCCGUCGACCAACGUGAACCAAGUUCCCCCCACACCCACUGCUCCUAUCCCCCAAAAUGGACACCUGAGUCCACAGCCUCGCAGCUCUCCUUUUUUCAUACCAGCCCUCCCAAAUGGCCACUUGAAUCCCCGCCUCAUACACCCGACACCUCCGACGACCCCCCCACCCACCAGGGUUUGGCCCGGUUUUUGAAUUCACUUCCACCACCACGGACACCUCGCCGCCCAAAUCCCCUUUCACCAAGGACCAUAGGAAACAUAACGUCACCUUACAUGGACCAUCACAAUCGCCUGAUCAUCCUCAGCCCAACCGAAUACAUGUUUCCGACUUUGCACACUACGCCCCAUUUUUUUACAAGCGCCCCUUUCAACAAUCGGCUUCUCUUAGAGGUUGCUCAAGAGAGAGAAGUCAUGCAUCCGGGGAGAGUAUUCCACUUCAGAAUAACCCUUCGCCCUCUCAACCAAUCAAACGAGCACCCCUCACCCUGGACUACAUCAGUGUACCAAAACGAUGGUGUGAAUCAGCACCUACACACCCAGAAUGGCAUUGGGCCCUCCACCUUCCAACCACAUCAAAAUCAAAUGAAGAUUCUUGCGUGGAACUGUAGGGGGGUUCAUCGCUCUGAUUUUUAUCUAGCUGCCCGAGACUUAAUUGCUCGUCAUAAUCCACACGUGUUCAUUGUGAUGGACACUAGGAUGACCCCCGAACGUUCUGCUACGAUUAUUCAACGUUUUAAUUUCACUGAUAAUACUAUAGUUUCUGUUGUUGGCUAUGCAGGCGGUAUCUAGAUGCUUUGGAAUGCUGCCCAAAUUACCCUUAUACAAACACGAGUAUCGAAUCGUAUGAUACAUGCAGUUGCUACUCUCAACCCGGGAACUCCUCAUUUCCUGCUGACGGCCAUGUAUAAUUACCCGCAGACUCACUUGCAACCUCAGGUUUGGCACGAACUCAUACAGACUGCUAAUUCUAUUAAUCUUAAUUGGGUAGUAAUUGGAGAUUUUAAUAACAUUUUGCAUGCAAACGAAAAAAAAGGGAGGAAAUAAACCGUUAAUUUCAAAAAUAUCCCAGUUUCGCAAUUGCAUGGCACAAUGUGAACUGUUUGAUUUGGGUUUUUCUGGACAUCCAUACACAUGGAAUAACCGAAGAUUUGGAAAAUCUUUCAUUUGCGAAAAGCUAGACCGGGCUUUCGCUAAUCAUUCCUGGCAUAAUCUGUUUCCCUUCACUAAAGUUUAUCAUUUUACAUCUAGUUCAUCUGACCACUCUCCAAUUCUUUUAGAUACGCAUAGCAAUCAUUCGAAAUUCAAAAAACCCUUUAGAUAUGAUAUUGCAUGGUCUACUCAUGAGGCUUUUAAAAACAUUGUUCAAAAUGCUUGGUCUAAUUAUCAACAUGGUGUCUACCCUCAUGAUUUCUUUAAACACUAUCAAUCUUUUAAAUUUAAAGCUCUAUGGUGGAAAAAACAUAUCUAUGGCAACAUAGAUAGGAAAAUAGAUACCACUAAAGAACUUAUAGAACAAGCUACUUCUGAGUUAGACAACUGUUAUUCUGACUCGAUUCACAAUAAACUUAAUCUUCUUAAAACUGAACACAAAAAGCUGCUCGCCCAAAAAGAAUUAUAUUGGCGUCAACGAUCAAGGGUUGCGUGGCUACAUGAUGGUGAUAAUAAUACAAAUUUUUUUCAUGCUUUUGCAUCAGAUAGGAAACGACGCAAUAUGGUCCAAAGUCUAAAAACAGAAUCCGGAAAUUGGAUUUAUGACCUAAAAGAGAUUCAAACCUACUUUGUUACUUUCUUUUCCAAUCUCUACACUUCUAAUAAUCCUCGUACACAUACCUUUUGUGACCUUGACUGUCCAAGAAUUCCCACUACCGCCCACAAUUCUUUGAUAAAUAAUGUGUCCGAUAGUGAAAUUUGGCUCGCCUUAAAUCGAAUUGGAUUGGACAAAGCGCCUGGUCCCGAUGGACUAAAUGGCCAUUUCUUCAAAACAUACUAGGAUAUUCUAAAGGUAUCUGUUACAGAUACUAUCCAGCAUUUCUUUCUAACUAAUAACAUGCCACAUUAUCUUAACAGCACUCGGAUCAUCCUUGUUCCUAAAAAUAACAACCCACAUCUCAUCAACCAUUUCCGGCCUAUAAGCCUCUGUAAUGUAAUGUAUAAGAUUAUUUCUAAUAUUUUGGUUAAUCGCCUCCGCCCGAUUUUGAACACUCUAAUAUCCCCUUUCCAAAAUGCUUUUAUUCCCAAACGGUUUAUUGGUGAUAAUGUUAUUAUGGCGCACGAACUACUCCACAAUAUGAAAUCCAAAAAAUCUAAAACUUCUUACAUGGCCCUAAAAAUUGAUCUUGAAAAGGCAUAUGAUAAACUGGAAUGGAGUUUUAUCAGUACUGUCCUGAACAAAUACAAUUUUCCAUCCCCAAUGAUCGACUGGAUUAUGGGUUGUAUACGAUCUGUAUCUUUCACCCUUUCUACGAAUGGAUUCAUUUCACAACCUUGGAAACCCCAACGUGGGCUGAGGCAAGGUGACCCCUUAUCCCCAUACAUAUUUAUUUUAUGUUUGAAUUUUCUUGUGCAAAAAUUUGUUGAAGGACAGACUAACAAUCAAUUUGAUGCUCUUAAAUCUAGUAAAAAUGGCCCUUUUAUUCCCAUUUUGUGUUUUGCCGAUGACUGUAUUAUAUUUUCUAAAACAAAUCAAAAAUUUGUUGAUUUUAUUCAAAACACUCUUUCUCUUUUCGCAGAAGAAUCUGGUCUCAAUAUUUGUUGGCAUAAGUCCAAAGUUUUUUUCUCCAAAAAUACUAAUAGUACAAUUCGAAGAUCCAUUUGUGAUCAGCUUAAUAUAAAAGCUGGUAAUACGGGUGAAAAAUACCUUGGCCUCCCAUUAAUUAUUAACCGAAUCUCAAAGACAACCUUCUAUGAUAUAAUUCUCAAAACUCAAUCUCGAAUUUCUAAUUGGUACAAUAAAUACUUGUCAUACGCUGGAAGAUGUACGCUUAUUAAGCAUGUGUUAAAUACCCUUCCUAACUAUACCAUGAACACUUUUCAACUUCCAGCAGCUACCAUAAACACACUCUCUUCCCUUAACAAAAAAUUCCUUUGGAACUCUACAUCUCAAUCCCACAGAAAAAGUCUUGUAAACUGGCAUUCUGUUUGCUUGCCCAAAACCAAAGGAGGACUCGGUAUUCGCGACCUACACGUUCUAAACAAUGCUUUUAUCCUCAAGAUAGCUUGGCGACUUCUUACUGAUCCAUCAUCUCUUUUGACCAAACUUAUGAAAUACAAAUACUACCCAACAAAUACCAUUCCCAACGUAACUAAACCAAAACCACACCAUAGCAGUAUUUGGAAAUCAAUAUAUAAAUGUAUUCAUAAACUGAGAGAAUGUCGGUUUUGGCUGGUUGGCAAUGGCGAAAAAAUUAAUUUCUGGACAGAUAAAUGGAUUGAUAAUAUUAUUAUAGCCGAUUAUGUUUCUUGCAUCCCUGAUCAUCUAGUAAAUCUUAGAGUUUCUAAUCUUAUCAACCCGAUUCAUCAAUCAUGGGAUCUUACUUGUGUUUCAAGUUUUAUACCCCAAUAUAUUGUUGACAAGAUUUUGGCUAUUCAUAUACCCGAACAUCGUCGUAAAGAUACGUUUAAAUGGGCAUUUACAAAAGAUGGCAUAUUCACCCUCAAAAGUGCCUACCUUUGGUUAUUUAAUGACCAACAUUCAAGUUUUACUCCUUCUCUCCCAUGGCAAACCAUUUGGAAAUCCACGGUAAGUCCGCGUAUUAAAUUUUUUCUCUAGCAACUCUCUCAUAAUUGUCUGCCUACAUCCGACUUCCUUUAUAGAAGAAAAGUGUUAAGAAUAAAUACAUGCCCGUUGUGUGGAACCUACCCCGAAACCAUAACGCACCUUGUCUUCCAAUGUCAUAAACUCCAACCUCUAAUCCGCAAACUCCCACACGUUCCCUCUGAAACUACAUCUCAUUUUUGUAGUCUCGCAUAUGCCCUUUCGAAAAAAUACAAGACCUAUUCGAACCAACUUUACACCCUCCUUUGGUUUAUCUGGAAAGCUCGUAACAACUUUAUUUUUCAUAAUAUUCCAAUAAAUAUAAACCAAAUCUGGCUUCUUGUGAAAAAUAGUUUCAUCCCUAAUAUACCACCUAAACCUAACAAAAUCACAAUAAGCCUUCGAUGGCAGCCUCCACCGGAUAAUUGGUACAAACUAAACAUCGACGGAUCAGCCCUCAUGAACCCCGGAAAAGCCGGCAUAUGCGGCAUGAUCAGAGAUAACACAUGAACAUUUAUAAUGGCAUUUGCGAAGAAUAUUGGGUAUACUACUAAUAAUGCAGCAGAAAUGUGGGCACUAUACAUUGGUUUAAAAAAGGCAAAGGAACUUGAUAUACAUCGACUUGUUAUUGACACCGACUCAUCUUUUCUUUUCUCUUGCCUUGACAGGAAGGAAGCUCCUCCCAGCUGCAUGCAAACUCUUCUGAAGGACCUUCGCAGAAUACUAUCUAAAUUCUCGAAGGUGAUGGUUAACUUUUGCUAUCGGGAACUAAACUACGUAGCGGAUGUAUUAGCUAAAAUGGGGACAUCCUUAGAUACGGAUGAAAUUUUGUUGUACGAUAAUUGCCCCAGUUUCCUAGAAUAUUAUAUGUAUCAGGACCUUUUCUCGGUGUACUCUCGUAGUACAUCCAAUCCUUGUAAUCGUACUAUGACCUUAAGUUCUUAAUAUAAUAUAUCGUUUGUUCUUGUUCAAAAAAAAAAAAAACAAUUCUUUUAUGGCAAUAUAAAUAGGGUUUAUUUUACAUUACCACAGGCUUCCAAAUAAUUAGAGAAGUCAAAUCAUUCUUUGAUAUAUUCCUAGAGAGGUGAAAGUACUAUACUACCAUUAUAUGCAAUUUUCGGUCAGACUGCAUUCAGUAUUUCUGGUCUUAUUCUUAGCAUUUUCGCUGAUUUAUUUAUUAUUAUUUCUUUCUUUUUUAAUAAAUCUGUUUGUUAAAUCUAUUAAUUUUUUUUAUUUUUUAAUUUUUUUUUCAAAUCAAUAUGUUUACCGUAUUUAAAAUAACUAAAUGUAACUAUGUGUAAAUGUAGUAAAAUUUAGUAAUUCGUAGUUGCGUUCUUUUUUUACCUCAUAAUUUUAGUCGAUCAAUUAUAUACACACACCGAUACUGGCUUAUAAAAAAGAAAUUCAUAAAUUCCAACAAGAAAAAAUUACAAAUUUCAAUAUUUUUAUUAUAAAUCACCUCAGAACCAAUAAAAUACAAAUCGAAAAUACACAAAUAUAUGCAUAUGUAACUAACUACAUGUUACUAUAUGUAACUAGUAAUGUAUAGUAAUAUAUAAUAAUGUACAGUAAUGUAUACAGUCUGUUGAACAUUGUAAUUUGAAGUAGAUGUAACUUCAACCAAAUUUUUGACACCUUCCAGGAGAUGAUCAAUGACUUUCAUUAAACUGCAAUUGAAACAUCAAAAAAAAAAUAUCUUAGUACAAAUCAAUAAAAAUUGAAGAAACAUCAAAACACUUAAAAAUCAACAAACACUGAGAGAUCGAGAGAUAUAGAGAGAGGCUAUAGUUGGGAAAUGCUACGAAUUUUAAACCAAACAGCCAGUGACUCCUCACCCCAAUCGCCUACUACUAAAACCCUAGCCGCCGCUAAUAAGUAAUAACACCCAAGUUUCCGCGCUCACAAAUAAAAAAAAUUAUAAAAAUAAAUCUGACAAUAUAAAAAUGAACGAAAUUACCAUCAAAAUAUAAAUCUCGAUGAGAGAAAUCCCACGGUGGGUAACCCGUCAAAUUCCAACUACCGGAACAUAAAAUACACCUCCGACAAGACCCACCGUCGUCGAAACUAUGCGUCGACUGAAAAAAAAUUGCAGAGACAUAUUGAGUGCUCCAAACUGAAUGAAAUCGACACUAAAAGAAAGAGUUCGACGAGAAGAAUGCAACUGUAGUUAAACAAUCGAAUUCCGACCACCGGAGAGAGAGUUAUGACUUCGGGAAGCAACUGAGAUCUAUGAAGGCUGGAUUUGAUCUGAGAGUUGAGAGGGGAAAAGAGAAAGACGACUGCGAGUGGCUAGAGUUUAAAACUGAUUUUAAAAGGGCAUUAUAGAUAUUUCAGGAUGGCCAAGGGGUAUAUCAAAUUAUUAUCGAAAUGGAAAGGAUUUGCACAAAGAUGUAAUUAGCUUGAUGGCUAGUCCUAUAUAAUUUCGAAAUGGGAAUCUCCAAAAUAAUCUCAUAUAAAUACAACCUUUUAACAUUUGAGUUUAAGCAUAUUUGGUGAAUUAAAAAGUCAUUAAUAACUAUACUUCUAAGUUGAUAAGAUGAUUAGGGUUUUCCAGCUGCCGACUGGAAAAAGAAAAGAAAGAAUUUAUUCACGAAAAACAGGAAGUUUCAAGGCUCUUUCUAAUAAUUGAUAUUAUUUUGCUUAUUAGAAUUAUAAAAAAUAAAAAAAAUAAUAAAAAAAAAAAUAGUGCAGCACUCUUUUAAUUUUCAUCUUGCCACCAAGGAACUGCGCGUUUUUGAAAAACCUCAACUUGAAUUGAGAAGCUUCAAGGCAGUUUCGUUCAAGUUUGUGCAGUUUCAAAAUUUCUAUAAAAAACCUUACCCCUCCCCUCUCUUCAGUUGGACUAUCGAUUAGGUAAAAAUAAACUGAAAGAACCAAAAAAAAAAAAAAAAAAAGAAACGAAAAAUAGUUCAACUCACUGAGUCACUCACACACGCUCAGUGAGUCGUUCAUACUCAUCGAUUCCUUACCAUUUCUGACACACAUGGGCUGCUAACGUGCGCAUGAUGGUGGUGUAAUAGUUUACCGGCUGCCACGGAAGAAACAGGAAAAUCAAGACGAUGUCGGAGUCGGAGUCGGAGUCGGAGGAGAUCUCAGCUGGUUUCGACGUCGAAGCACAGCAAUCACUUCUCGGAACAACGUCCGUACCGCCGCCCGCAGAAACAGCCACCGCCAGUAUCAGGUCAAUUAUUUUGCUCAUUCGUUCCACUCAACUCUUCAAGUUGGGCGGCGCCGGAGCUCACAACUACCACGAUGCCGCCGUGGCCGCCGAUCAUAUAAUCAGCAGCAGCACUACUUCUUCACCGCGGUCAACCUCAGCUGUUAGUUACGCUUCUAUCCCCAUCUCCGCCGAUGAUCAGAUUCUCAUUAACAUUCCGGUAUAUAUAUAUAUAUAUAUAUAUAUAUAUAUAUAUAUAUAUAUAUAUAUAUAUAUAUAUAUAUAUAUAUAUAUAUAUAUAUAUCUUUAAUCAAACAAUUAAUAUCAAUUGAUCUUAAAAAUUACUUGUAUUAAUAAUUAAUUUGCAUACUAGGGUUCAACGACGACGACUCUGCAUGAGGAGACCUUGACCCCACAAUCGGUCGUCAACAUCGAGCUGCAGCGCGUAGUGCAGAUUAACAACAUCGCCGAUAUUGUGAAGAAGAGGAAUCUGCGAGAACUCAAUGAUUUUGGAGGUGUUAGAGGAGUGGCAGAAGCAUUAAGCACAGAUCUGGACAAAGGAAUAAUAAUCUCAAACCCUAAAAAAACCUGCACCCAAUUCAACCCUAAUACCCAACUUCUCCUCACUUUCUUCCAUUCUUUUCUAGAAGCUUGGAACAACUACACCAUCUUUCUUCUCUCCUUCACUGCGAUUUUGUCUCUAGGGUUCGGAAUCAAGGAGGAAGGCUCGUGCAUCGGCUGGCUCAACGGCGCGCUCAUAAUUCUCACAAUCUUAUUUCUUGUCACGUGUACUGCCGUACACAAGUGCUGGGAAGAGAGGUCACGUAAAAAAUUGGAGAACAAUUUUUUACGUGAGAUUUGUAAUAAGGUGCAAGUACUUAGAGGUGGGGAAGUUGAGUCUAUUAAGGAAACCGACCUCGAAGUUGGCGACAUAGCAGUUCUGAGAAAGGGAGAUCGUGUUCUCGCCGAUGGCAUUUUCGUAGAUAGCCGAGUGUCGCUCGAGCUAGACAAAAACGGCUUCAUAAUCGAUGAAGAAAACCCGUUUUUGUUUUACGGCAGUAGAGUGAUCAACGGAGAUGCUCGGAUGCUGGUCACAUCCACAGGCAUGGACACGUUGUGGGGUGAGACAAUG
rnacentral:lncRNA from 1 species